CAGGAAAGGUGCUCCAGCCCUCUGAUCAUCUUCAUAAUCUAACUUUGAAGUUAGCCCUGCUUGGAGCAAACUGGAGAGGCUGGACUAGAUGGCCUUCAGAAGUCCUCUCCAACCUAAAUUAUUCUGCUGGAUGACAUACAAAAAUCAAUGGCUUUUGCAAAGAUACCAUGAUGUUGUCUGGAGCAGAGUUUGGUCUCUCACUGCCCUUCUUCGACUGUGCCGGCUGCCUGAAGCAGAAGCUAUGUUAUGAAGAGCAAUUUAUUUAUGCAACUUGCUACUGAAAAGAGAUCUCUUGAUGUGAUGCAAUUGUGGCUCAUGGAGUCUUACUUCAAUAACUUUCUGGAGUGAACAGUCCAGUGCCAAAUAACGUGCAUGGAGAUCUACCAAUUCAAGGAAUCUAGGGUCCUAAGUAAUCCUGAAUUCAGAAACGGGAAAGUUGUGAGAGUGACAACUUCAACUGUGCUGGAAUUAGUAGGUGUUUGUGAUCUUUCAUCAGAGGUACACGAGGAGAAGUGGAAGUGGUGUGCACCAACUCUUUUAUGGAACAAAAAGUCUUUUAUUUUCUUGUAACAAUUUAUCUUUUUAGUUUCUGUCUCUUCUGCAUUCUUUCUUUUGAUGACUUCAGAGAUGGAGGAUGACACUUAGAUGGGAAGAGAAAAGUCCACUUCUUUCAGCAAGCAGGCUAUCUUGCCUACUUCCUUCCUCCCUACAUGUACCACGCUGAUGUCACGCUGCUUCAGGUUGCUGAAGAGAAUUUCCCUAGCAACUGUGGAGAAGUGUUAUUUAGAUUAAUUUUCUUUCAUUUCCCCACAAUAGUUUGGUGAGUGAUUGGAACAGCAAGCCCUAAACUGUCCAGUUGGCUUUUUGUUUGUUUUCUUUCCUUUUGCACACACCAGAAAAAUGGCAUCAGAGAUGUACAGUGUGCGAGGUUUUUGUGCUUGUAUACUAACAUACACGUACAACUACGCAUAUGAACAUUGCUGCUACCCUGUUGAUUUUACGCUGCAGAGUGGAUGCUGUUGUUGGCUACAGACUGAAAUGUCAUCUGGGUUUGGAAUCCUCCAGCUUAUGAUUUCAUCUUUGCAAAUGCUGAUU